rnacentral:rRNA from 1 species
AGAGUUUGAUCAUGGCUCAGAUUGAACGCUGGCGGCAGGCCUAACACAUGCAAGUCGAACGGUAACAGGAAAAAGCUUGCUUUUUUGCUGACGAGUGGCGGACGGGUGAGUAAUGUCUGGGAAACUGCCUGAUGGAGGGGGAUAACUACUGGAAACGGUAGCUAAUACCGCAUAACGUCGCAAGACCAAAGAGGGGGACCUUCGGGCCUCUUGCCAUCGGAUGUGCCCAGAUGGGAUUAGCUUGUUGGUGGGGUAACGGCUCACCAAGGCGACGAUCCCUAGCUGGUCUGAGAGGAUGACCAGCCACACUGGAACUGAGACACGGUCCAGACUCCUACGGGAGGCAGCAGUGGGGAAUAUUGCACAAUGGGCGCAAGCCUGAUGCAGCCAUGCCGCGUGUAUGAAGAAGGCCUUCGGGUUGUAAAGUACUUUCAGCGGGGAGGAAGGGAGUAAAGUUAAUACCUUUGCUCAUUGACGUUACCCGCAGAAGAAGCACCGGCUAACUCCGUGCCAGCAGCCGCGGUAAUACGGAGGGUGCAAGCGUUAAUCGGAAUUACUGGGCGUAAAGCGCACGCAGGCGGUUUGUUAAGUCAGAUGUGAAAUCCCCGGGCUCAACCUGGGAACUGCAUCUGAUACUGGCAAGCUUGAGUCUCGUAGAGGGGGGUAGAAUUCCAGGUGUAGCGGUGAAAUGCGUAGAGAUCUGGAGGAAUACCGGUGGCGAAGGCGGCCCCCUGGACGAAGACUGACGCUCAGGUGCGAAAGCGUGGGGAGCAAACAGGAUUAGAUACCCUGGUAGUCCACGCCGUAAACGAUGUCGACUUGGAGGUUGUGCCCUUGAGGCGUGGCUUCCGGAGCUAACGCGUUAAGUCGACCGCCUGGGGAGUACGGCCGCAAGGUUAAAACUCAAAUGAAUUGACGGGGGCCCGCACAAGCGGUGGAGCAUGUGGUUUAAUUCGAUGCAACGCGAAGAACCUUACCUGGUCUUGACAUCCACGGAAGUUUUCAGAGAUGGAAUGGUGCCUUCGGGAACCGUGAGACAGGUGCUGCAUGGCUGUCGUCAGCUCGUGUUGUGAAAUGUUGGGUUAAGUCCCGCAACGAGCGCAACCCUUAUCCUUUGUUGCCAGCGGUCCGGCCGGGAACUCAAAGGAGACUGCCAGUGAUAAACUGGAGGAAGGUGGGGAUGACGUCAAGUCAUCAUGGCCCUUACGACCAGGGCUACACACGUGCUACAAUGGCGCAUACAAAGAGAAGCGACCUCGCGAGAGCAAGCGGACCUCAUAAAGUGCGUCGUAGUCCGGAUUGGAGUCUGCAACUCGACUCCAUGAAGUCGGAAUCGCUAGUAAUCGUGGAUCAGAAUGCCACGGUGAAUACGUUCCCGGGCCUUGUACACACCGCCCGUCACACCAUGGGAGUGGGUUGCAAAAGAAGUAGGUAGCUUAACCUUCGGGAGGGCGCUUACCACUUUGUGAUUCAUGACUGGGGUGAAGUCGUAACAAGGUAACCGUAGGGGAACCUGCGGUUG